rnacentral:rRNA from 1 species
AGACCUUUGAAGACUGAAGUGGAGAAAGGUUCCGUGUGAACAGCAGUUGGACACGGGUGAGCCGACCCUAAGAGACAGGAAAACUCCGCCGAACGCGGCCGCUUCUGUCGGCCCGUCCGUCGAAAGGGAAUCGGGUUAAUAUUCCCGAACCAGGACGUGGAUGUUGAGUGGUAACACAAGCAAAGCCGGGGACGACGGCGGGAGCCCCG